AGCGAACGCUGGCGGCGGGCUUAACACAUGCAAGUCGAACGGGCGUAGCAAUACGUCAGUGGCAGACGGGUGAGUAACGCGUGGGAACGUACCUUUUGGUUCGGAACAACCCAGGGAAACUUGGGCUAAUACCGGAUAAGCCCUUACGGGGAAAGAUUUAUCGCCGAAAGAUCGGCCCGCGUCUGAUUAGCUAGUUGGUGAGGCAACGGCUCACCAAGGCGACGAUCAGUAGCUGGUCUGAGAGGAUGAUCAGCCACAUUGGGACUGAGACACGGCCCAAACUCCUACGGGAGGCAGCAGUGGGGAAUAUUGGACAAUGGGCGCAAGCCUGAUCCAGCCAUGCCGCGUGAGUGAUGAAGGCCCUAGGGUUGUAAAGCUCUUUUGUGCGGGAAGAUAAUGACGGUACCGC
rnacentral:rRNA from 1 species